rnacentral:misc_RNA from 1 species
GAUGAAGAACGCAGCGAAAUGCGAUAAGUAAUGUGAAUUGCGGAAUUCAGUGAAUCAUCGAAUCUUUGAACGCACAUUGCGCCCGGGAGCAUUCUCCCGGGCAUGCCUGUUCGAGCGUCAUUUCAACCCUCGAUUUCCCUUUGGGGAAGUCGGCCGUUGGAGAUCGGCAGCACUGCCGGCUCCCAAAUACAGUGGCGACCCGCCGCGGGGACCCCUGCGUAGUAACUUACACUCGCACCGGAAACCAGACGUGUCACGCCGUAAAACCCCCAACUUUCUGAACGUUGACCUCGGAUCAGGUAGGAAUACCCGCUGAACUUAAGCAUAUCAAUAAGCGGAGGA